UAUUUGGCCCUGGCAAUAGAUUAUGGCUGGUACAAACCAGUUCUCAGGAUAUCUUACAACUAGAGGCAGCCUUAAGACCCUGUUUUGUCGAGAAUACCUACUUGGAAGUCUAGUCAAAAGUGGCAGCUCACCCUCCUGUUUCAACUCAGAAGUCCUUCUCCAUUACCACCCCUGUCAAGUGAGGAGCUGCUGUUUCUCCUACUAAUGAGCAGAGCAGAUCAAACAUCAAACUGCCAAAGACAGAAAAUUAUUUACUGAUGUACAUUAUUUGACAAACUAUUCAAAGGAAUGACCCCACUAUUUAUGCAGUUUUAAGCAGAGAAGGAGAGUCUCCAGGAACUAUACGAAUUAAUCAACUUGAGCAAUCAGCCUGUUUUACAGCCUCCUGCCUUGGAGACUACUUUUUCCAAAACUCUAUGUGGGAUGUGGUCACCUAGUUGGUUGGAACCAGCUCCUGACAGACCCCAGCAACUGACAGAUGAACCUGAGUGAACUUUCCUCAUUAUCAUGCUAAAGUCUCCAUCCCGAAAGGAACUAUAGCUUCAUUACCAGAACAUGCAACCUUUGUGCUGGCAUAAAGGCUCACUGCGUCUAAAGCAACUGGGACCCGUCCCGUACAUGUGAUGAUGCACACUCUCCUCUCUCCAUAGCGCCAUAAACUCUCUCAGGGAGACACUGCUUUGAGGAAUGCUUCCUUACUUGUGCUAAGUAAUAAAACUCCUAUUGAUUAAAAUUUACAUUC
rnacentral:lncRNA from 1 species